rnacentral:lncRNA from 1 species
GCCAGAUAGUGCACAGGAUAGUAGCGCAUAGGUAGACAUUAGCAAGGUUUGGAAUAGUGCACAGGUUAGCACUGGUUGUUGCUUAACACAAGGUCUGUUCAAAGACAGCAACACGUCCCACAAAUUGUUAUUGUGUGUCAGAGGCAAAAGUUAACAAAUUAAAGAUAAAAAUAUAAGAAACGGUGCAGCUUCCAAUAUCCAGGGGUAAACUUUGGUACGAUACCCAGAAGUCACUACCCCGAGUACGUGACAU